CUCGAGAUCGACUUAAUUGGCUCGAGCUCGACUCGAACUCGAUAUUGACGAGCUCGUAUUCGAGCCGCUCGCGAUCGGCUCGCGAGCGGCUCGAUUCGCGAAACAGCCCUAUACAGAACCAAAGCUGAGAUCCGCAGAGCUGUUGAAGCUGAAGGGAUACCUUACGCUUAUUUAGUAUCUAAUGGUUUUGCUGGUUAUUUGAAUUAUUUCCUUAACCCCUUUGGAGACUCUAGCUCUGCAAGUCCUCCCAGAGACAAAAUUGUCAUUCUUGGUGAUGGAAAUCCAAAAGUCAUUUUCUUGAAGGAAGAAGACAUAGCUGCACACACCAUUAAAGCAGCAGAUGAUCCAAGGACCCUGAACAAGAUUGUGUACCUUAGACCACCUGCCAACACUCUGUCCUGCAACGAAAUAGUAUCAUUGUGGGAAAGGAAAAUUGGCCAGACCCUCGUAAAAGAUUUACCUUCCAGAGAAGGAAGUCCUUGAGAAAAUCCAAGAGGCUUCAAUGCCAUCAAAAUUCAUCCUGUCUCUGGGAUACACAGUUUUUGUGAAGGAUAGAAAUGGCAAACUUUGAGAUCGAGGCUUCUUUUGGCAUGGAGGCAACGGAGCUCUAUCCCGAUGUGAAAUGCACCACACUUGACGAGUACCUCAAUCAGUUUGUAUCAGACAGAGUAGCAACAAAACUGUUAUUCCCUCCGUAGCUUUCCAUUUCGAAAUGUUUCAAAAUAUUUGUCAUCGUAUACAAGAAAUAUGGGACCGAGGGAGUAUAUUAACCAAUGUUUGCCUACCAGCUUUUUUGCAACAUUUCUUAUGUACUAUUAGAAAUGUACUUUGAUUGUUCAUCUCCCUUACGGAAAAUGUCAUAAAUGUGUCUGAAAUAAAAUCUACCCUAUACUUGUUUUGCAA